rnacentral:tRNA from 1 species
GGUUUUUUAGCUCAGCUGGAUAGAGCAUCCCGACGUCAAGUCGGGAAGGUCUCAGGUUCGAAUCCUGAUGCGACCA